GAUGAACGCUGGCGGCGUGCCUAAUACAUGCAAGUCGAGCGAACAGACGAGGAGCUUGCUCCUCUGACGUUAGCGGCGGACGGGUGAGUAACGCGUGGAUAACCUACCUAUAAGACUGGGAUAACUUCAGGAAACCGGAGCUAAUACCGGAUAAUAUAUUGAACCGCAUGGUUCAAUAGUGAAAGACGGUUUUGCUGUCACUUAUAGAUGGAUCCGCGCCGCAUUAGCUAGUUGGUAAGGUAACGGCUUACCAAGGCAACGAUGCGUAGCCGACCUGAGAGGGUGAUCGGCCACACUGGAACUGAGACACGGUCCAGACUCCUACGGGAGGCAGCAGUAGGGAAUCUUCCGCAAUGGGCGAAAGCCUGACGGAGCAACGCCGCGUGAGUGAUGAAGGUCUUCGGAUCGUAAAACGCUGUUAUUAGGGAAGAACAAAUGUGUAAGUAACGAUGCACGUCUUGACGGUACCGAAUCAGAAAGCCACGGCUAACUACGU
rnacentral:rRNA from 1 species